AGGGAGUACGGAAGAUUUCUAGAAGCCGUAGCCCAAGAAGUCAUGUGCUUUUUGUGGGGGAUCACCCAUAAGCCAUGUGGCCCAUCAUAUGGGUCAUUUUAUCAUCCAAAGGCCUGCAAGAGGAAGAAGCACCAACAACGACAACAGCUACAGCAGUAGCUCCCCUUCUCCAAGAGCCA